GACAAAACAAGUCUCCGAGCCUCCAUUGCCUAAAGGGCGUCAAACCCCACGGCAUGGAGGCCUGCAGGCCGGGCCGGAAACGGCCGGACCUCCCUUUCGGAAAGGAGACUGCAAAUAAUCACU
rfam:Geobacter sp. FRC-32, complete genome.